GGAAAACAGAGACUGCAGGAGAGCAGAGAGCAAGGGAAGGGAAAGUCCAGGGGAACCACUGGAUGGAUUUGGUGCUUCCUACACCUUCAAAAUCAGCCAGCCAGCACAAAAAGGCAGGUUAGAGCAGCUGCAGCAGUGGAGAAGAGCAGGACACCUGCUGCCAGCAGCCCAAAACCCCAUGGAGGGUAAAGCAGUAACUCAGGCUCACACAGAACCUGGCCAGCUCAAAUCUGAGGAGCACAAUCAGAGAACUGGACAAUUCCAACAAGGUCCAGCAGUGACCCCACACCAGGAGCUGACCCCACAGACACACCAGCCCUGCAGAGUCACAACUUCCAAAGCCCCGGACUUCCAACAAGUCCUGCCUGAAACUUCACAGUUCUGUGUAGCAAAUGGCAUCAGAAAGGUGAGCAAAUGCAGACACAGAGCUGCACAGGGGCAGAAACACUCUCAGUUGUGGUGUAUGACUGCUGUAGCAAAAGUUUUGACUCCAGUCUCUGUAAAUAGAGAUGUUUGGCCCAGUCAGCACUCGGAUUAUUUGCUGCCAGCACAACAGAGCACAUGCCUUUGUUUAGGAGGGGUUGAAUUUAGGCAACCA